CCUUUGUCAUCGGUAUGUUACUUGCCCGAGAUUCGAUCGUCGGUAUCCAAUACCUAGUUCAAUCUCGUUACCGGCAAGUCUCUUUACUCGUUUUGUAAUGCAUCAUCUCGUAACCAACCCAUUGGUCACAUUGCUUGCAAGGCUUAUAGUGAUGUGCAUUACCGAGAGGGACCAGAGAUACCUCUCCGACAAUCGGAGUGACAAAACCGAAUCUCGAAAUACGCCAACUCAACAUGUACCUUCGGAGACACCUGUAGUACUCCUUUAUAAUCACCCAGUUACGUUGUGACGUUUGGUAGUACCCAAAGUGUUCCUCCGGUAAACCGGAGUUGCAUAAUUCUCAUAGUUACAGGAACUUGUAUAAGUCAUGAAGAAAGCAAUAGCAGUAUACUAAACGAUCAAGUGCUAAGCUAACGGAAUGGGUCAUGUCAAUCACAUCAUUCUCCUAAUGAUGUGAUCCCAUUAAUCAAAUGACAACACAUGUCUAUGGUUAGGAAACAUAACCAUAUUUGAUUAAUGAGCUAGUCAAGUAGAGGCAUACUAGUGACUAUAUGUUUGUCUUUGUAUUCACACAUGUAUCAUGUUUCCGGUUAAUACAAUUCUAGCAUGAAUAAUAAACAUUUAUCAUGAUAUGAGGAAAUAAAUAAUAACUUUAUUAUUGCCUCUAGGGUAUAUUUCCUUAUGUCUCCAACUUGCACUAGAGUCAAUAAUCGAGAUUACAUAGUAAUGAUUCUAACACCCAUGGAGUCUUGGUGCUGAUCAUGUUUUGCUCGUGAGAGAGGCUUUGUCAAUGGGUCUGCAACAUUCAGAUCCGUAUGUAUCUUGCAAAUCUCUAUGUCUCCCACUUGGACUUGGUCCCGAAUGGAAUUGAAGCGUCUCUUGAUGUGCUUGGUCCUCUUGUGAAAUCUGGAUUCCUUUGCCAAGGCAAUUGCACCAGUAUUGUCACAAAAGAUCUUCAUUGGUCCCGAUGCACUAGGUAUGACACCUAGAUCGGAAAUGAACUCCUUCAUCCAGACUCCUUCAUUUGCUGCUUCAGAAGCAGCUAUGUACUCCGCUUCACAUGUAGAUCCCUCCACGACGCUUUGUUUAGAACUGCACCAACUUACAACUCCACCGUUUAAUAAAAACACGUAUCCGGUUUGCGAUUUAGAAUCGUCCGGAUCAGUGUCAAAGCUUGCAUCGACGUAACCAUUUACGACUAGCUCUUUGUCACCUCCAUAUACGAGAAACAUAUCCUUAGUCCUUUUCAGGUAUUUCAGGAUGUUCUUGACCGUUGUCCAGUGAUCCACUCCUGGAUUACUUUGGUACCUUCCUGCCAAGCUUAUUGCUAAGCAUACGUCAGGUCUGGUACACAGCAUUGCAUACAUGAUAGAGCCUAUGGCUGAAGCAUAGGGAACAUCUUUCAUUUUCUCUCUAUCUUCUGCUGUGGUCGGGCAUUGAGUUUGACUCGACUUCACACCUUGUAGCAUGGGCAAGAACCCUUUCUUUGCCUGAUCCAUUUUGAACUUUUUCAAAAUUUUGUCAAGGUAUGUGCUUUGUGAAAGUCCUAUUAAGCGUCUUGAUCUAUCUCUAUAGAUCUUAAUGCCCAAUAUGUAAGCAGCUUCACCGAGGUCUUUCAUUGAAAAACUUUUAUUCAAGUAUCCCUUUAUGCUAUCCAGAAAUUCUAUAUCAUUUCCAAUUAAUAAUAUGUCACCUACAUAUAAAAUCAGAAAUGCUACAAAGCUCCCACUCAAUUUCUUGUAAAUACAGGCUUCUCCAAAAGUCUGUAUAAAACCAUAUGCUUUGAUCACACUAUCAAAACAUUUAUUCCAACUCCGAGAUGCUUGCACCAGUCCAUAAAUGGAUCACUGGAGCUUGCACACUUUGUUAGCACCUUUUGGAUCAACAAAACCUUCCGGCUGCAUCAUAUACAACUCUUCUUCUAGAAAUCCAUUCAAGAAUGCAGUCUUGACAUCCAUUUGCCAAAUUUCAUAAUCAUGAAAUGCAGCAAUAGCUAACAUGAUUCGGACAGACUUAAGCAUCGCUACGGGUGAGAAAGUCUCAUCAUAGUCAACCCCUUGAACUUGUCGAAAACCUUUCGCAACAAGUCUAGCUUUAUAGACAGUUUCAUUACCAUCAGCGUCAGUCUUCUUCUUAAAGAUCCACUUAUUCUCAAUGGCUUGCCGAUCAUCGGGCAAGUCAACCAAAGUCCAUACUUUGUUUUCAUACAUGGAUCUCAUCUCAGAUUUCAUGGCCUCUAGCCAUUUUGUGGAAUCUAGGCUCAUCAUCGCUUCCUCAUAGUUCGUAGGUUCAUCAUGGUCAAGUAACAUGACUUCCAGAAUAGGAUUACCGUACCACUCGGGUGCGGAUCUUACUCUGGUAGACCUACGAGGUUAAGUAGAAACUUGAUCUGAAGUUUCAUGAUCAAUAUCAUUAGCUUCCUCGCUAAUUGGUGUAGUUGUCACAGGAACCGGUUCUUGUGAUGAACUACUUUCCAAUAAGGGAGUAGAUACAGUUAUCUGAUCAAGUUCUACUUUCCUCCCACUCACUUCUUUCGAGAGAAACUCUUUCUCUAGAAAGGAUCCGAAUUUAGCAACAAAAAUCUUGCCCUCAGAUCUGUGAUAGAAGGUGUACCCAAUAGUCUCUUUUGGGUAUCCUAUGAAGACACAUUUCUCUGAUUUGGGUUCGAGCUUAUCUGGUUGAAGUUUCUUCACAUAAGCAUCACAGCCCCAAACUUUAAGAAACGACAACUUUGGUUUCUUGCCAAACCACAGUUCAUAAGGCUUCGUCUCAACGAAUUUUGAUGGUGCCCUAUUUAACGUGAAUGCGGCCGUCUCUAAAGCAUAACCCGAAAACGAUAGCGGUAAAUCGGUAAUACACAUCAUAGAUCACACCAUAUCUAGUAAAGUACGAUUACGACGUUCGGACACACCAUUUCGUUGUGGUGUUACGGGUGGCGUGAGUUGCGAAAAUAUUCCGCAUUGUUUCAAGUGUAGACCAAACUCGUAACUCAAAUAUUCUCCUCCACGAUCAGAUCGUAGAAAUUUUAUUUUCUUGUUACGAUGAUUUUCCACUUCACUCUGAAAUUCUUUGAACUUUUCAAAUGUUUCAGACUUGUGUUUCAUUAAGUAGAUAUACCCAUAUCUGCUCAAAUCAUCUGUGAAAGUGAGAAAAUAACGAUACCCACCGCGAGCCUCAACAUUCAUUGGACCACAAACAUCAGUAUGUAUGAUUUCCAACAAAUCAGUUGCUCGCUCCAUAGUUCCGGAGAACGGCAUUUUAGUCAUCUUGCCCAUAAGCCAUGGUUCGCAAGUACCAAGUGAUUCAUAAUCAAGUGAGUCCAAAAGCCCAUCAGUAUGGAGUUUCUUCAUGCGCUUUACACCGAUAUGACCCAAAUGGCAGUGCCACAAAUAAGUUGCACUAUCGUUAUCAACUCUGCAUCCUUUGGUUUCAACACUAUGAAUAUGUGUAUCACUACUAUCGAGAUUCAAUAAAAAUAGACCACUCUUCAAGGGUGCAUGACCAUAAAAGAUAUUACUCAUAUAAAUAGAACAACCAUUAUUCUCUGAUUUAAAUGAAUAACCGUCUCGCAUCAAACAAGAUCCAGAUAUAAUGUUCAUGCUCAACGCUGGCACCAAAUAACAAUUAUUUAGGUCUAAAACUAAUCCCGAUGGUAGAUGUAGAGGUAGCGUGCCGACCGCGAUUACAUCGACUUUGGAACCAUUUCCGACGCGCAUCGUCACCUCGUCCUUAGCCAAUCUUCGCUUAAUCUGUAGUCCCUGUUUCGAGUUGCAAAUAUUAGCAACAGAACCAGUAUCAAAUACCCAGGUGCUACUGCGAGCAUUAGUAAGGUACACAUCAAUAACAUGUAUAUCACAUAUAUCUUUGUUCACUUUGCCAUCCUUCUUAUCCGCCAAAUACUUGGGGCAGUUCCGCUUCCAGUGUCCAGUCUGCUUGCAGUAGAAGCACUCAGUUUCAGGCUUAGGUCCAGACUUGGGUUUCUCCUCUUGAGCAGCAACUUGCUUGCCGUUCUUUUUGAAGUUCCCCUUCUUCUUCCCUUUGCCCUUCUUCUUGAAACUGGUGGUCUUGUUGACCAUCAACACUUGAUGCUCCUUCUUGAUUUCUACCUCCGCAGCUUUUAGCAUUGCAAAGAGCUCGGGAAUAGUCUUGUUCAUCCCUUGCAUAUUAUAGUUCAUCACGAAGCUCUUGUAGCUUGGUGGCAGUGAUUGGAGAAUUCUGUCAAUGACACUAUCAUCAGGAAGAUUAACUCCCAGUUGAAUCAAGUGAUUAUUAUACCCAGACAUUUUGAGUAUGUGUUCACUGAUAGAACUAUUCUCCUCCAUCUUGCAGCUAUAGAACUUAUUGGAGACUUCAUAUCUCUCAAUCCGGGCAUUUCCUUGAAAUAUUAACUUCAACUCCUGGAACAUCUCAUAUGCUCCAUGACGUUCAAAAUGUCGUUGAAGACCCGGUUCUAAGCCGUAAAUCAUGGCACACUGAACUAUCGAGUAGUCAUCAGCUUUGCUCUGGCAGACAUUCUUAACGUCGUCAGUUGCAUCAGCAGCAGGCCUGGCACCCAGCGGUGCUUCUAAGACGUAACUUUUCUGUGCAGCAAUGAGGAUAAUCCUCAGGUUACGGACCCAGUCCGUAUAAUUGCUACCAUCAUCUUUCAACUUUGCUUUCUGAAGGAACGCAUUAAAAUUCAACGGAACAACAGCACGAGCCAUCUAUCUACAAACAAACAUAGACAAGCAAAAUACUAUCAGGUACUAAGUUCAUGAUAAAUUUAAGUUCAAUUAAUCAUAUUACUUAAGAACUCCCACUUAGACAGACAUCUCUCUAGUCAUCUAAGUGAUCACAUGAUCCAAAUCAACUAAACCAUGUCCGAUCAUCACGUGAGAUGGAGUAGUUUCAAUGGUGAACAUCACUAUGUUGAUCAUAUCUACUAUAUGAUUCACGCUCGACCUUUCGGUCUCCGUGUUCCGAGGCCAUAUCUGUAUAUGCUAGGCUCUUCAAGUAUGACCUGAGUAUUCCGAGUGUGCAACUGUUUUGCACCCGUUGUAUUUGAACGUAGAGCCUAUCACACCCGAUCAUCACGUGGUGUCUCAUCACGAAGAACUUUCGCAAUGGUGCAUACUCAGGGAGAACACUUCUGGAUUAUUAGUGAGAGAUCAUCUUAAAAUGCUACCGUCAAUCAAAGCAAGAUAAGAUGCAUAAAGGAUAAACAUCACAUGCAAUCAAUAUAAGUGAUAUGAUAUGGCCAUCAUCAUCUUGUGCUUGUGAUCUCCAUCUUUGAAGCACCAUCGUGAUCACCAUCGUCACCGGCGCGACACCUUGAUCUCCAUCGUAGCAUCGUUGUCGUUACGCCAUCUAUUGCUUCUACGACUAUCGCUACCGCUUAGUGAUAAAGUAAAGCAAUUACAGGGCGUUUGCAUUUCAUACAAUAAAGCGACAAUCAUAUGGCCCUGCCAGUUGCCGAUAACUUCGGUUACAAAACAUGAUCAUCUCAUACAAUAAAAUAUAGCAUCACGUCUUGACCAUAUCACAUCACAACAUGCCCUGCAAAAACAAGUUAGACGUCCUCUACUUUGUUGUUGCAAGUUUUAUGUGGCUGCGACGGGCUUAGCAAGAACCGUUCUUACCUACGCAUCAAAAACCACAACAAUAGUUCGUCAGGUUGGUGCUAUUUUAACCUUCGCAAGGACCGGGCGUAGCCACACUCGAUUCAGCUAAAGUGAGAGAGACAGACACCCGCCAGCCACCUUUAAGCACGAGUGCUCAUAACGGUGAAACCAGUCUCGUGUAAGUGUACGCGUAAUGUCGGUCCGGGCCGCUUCAUCUCACAAUACCGCCGAACCAAAGUAUGACAUGCUGGUAAGCAAUAUGACUUGUAUUGCCCACAACUCACUUGUCUUCUACUCGUGCAUAUAACAUCAACCCAUAAAACCUAGGCUCGGAUGCAACAGUUGGGGAACGUAGUAAUUUCAAAAAAAUUCCUACGCACACGCAAGAUCAUGGUGAUGGCAUAGAAAUGAGAGGGGAGAGUGUUCGUCCACGUACCCUCGUAGACCGUAAGCGGAAGCGUUAGCACAACGCGGUUGAUGUAGUCGUACGUCUUCACGAUCCGACCGAUCCAAGCACCGAACGUACGGGGCCUCCGAGUUCAGCACACGUUCAGGUCGAUGACGAUCUCCGGCCUCCGAUCCAGCAAAGCUCCGGAGAAGAGUUCCGUCAGCACGACAGCGUGGUGACGAUGAUGAUGUUCUACCGGCGUAGGGCUUCGCCUAAACUCCGCGACGAUAUGACCGAGGUGGAAUAUGGUGGAGGGGGGCACCGCACACGGCUAAGGAACGAUCCGUAUAUCAACUUGUGUGUCUAUGGGGUGCCCCACGCCCCCGUAUAUAAAGGAGCCAGAGGGGAGGAGGCAGCUGGCCAAGGAGGGCGCGCCAAGGGGGGAGUCCUACUCCCACCGGGAGUAGGACUCCCUUCUUUCCAAAUAGGAGUAGGAGAAGGGGGGAAAGAGGAGGAAGAGAGGAAGGAAAGGGGGGGCGCCGCCCCCCUUCCCUUGUCCUAUUCGGACUAGGAAGGGGAGGGGCGGGCGGCCCCCUCCUGGCUCCUUCCCUCUUCUCCCUCGAGGCCCAUGUAGGCCCAAUAACCCCCCGGGGGGUUCCGAUAACCUCCCGGUACUCCGGUAAAAUGCCGAUUUCACCCGGAACGAUUCCGAUGUCCAAAUAUAGGCUUCCAAUAUAUCGAUUUUAUGUCUCGACCAUUUCGAGACUCCUCGUCAUGUCCGUGAUCACAUCCGGGACUCCGAACAAACUUCGGUACAUCAAAACUUAUAAACUCAUAAUAAAACUGUCAUCAUAACGUUAAGCGUGCGGACCCUACGGGUUCGAGAACUAUGUAGACAUGACCUAGAACUAUUCUCGGUCAAUAACCAAUAGCGGGACCUGGAUGCCCAUAUUGGUUCCUACAUAUUCUACGAAGAUCUUUAUCGGUCGAACCACAUAACAACAUACAUUGUUCCCUUUGUCAUCGGUAUGUUACUUGCCCGAGAUUCGAUCGUCAGUAUCCAAUACCUAGUUCAAUCUCGUUACCGGCAAGUCUCUUUACUCGUUCUGUAAUGCAUCAUCUCGUAACCAACCCAUUGGUCACAUUGCUUGCAAGGCUUAUAGUGAUGUGCAUUACCGAGAGGGCCCAGAGAUACCUCUCCGACAAUCGGAGUGACAAAACCUAAUCUCGAAAUACG
rnacentral:lncRNA from 1 species